rfam:Rattus norvegicus chromosome X, whole genome shotgun sequence.
GGGGAUUUGGCUCAGUGGUAGAGCGCUUGCCUAGCAAGCACAAGGUCCUGGGUUCGGUCCCCAGCUCUG